rnacentral:rRNA from 1 species
UGAGUACGAGAUGCUACGGCAUCGAAGCAGUCUAUGUCAUACUUCCAAGAAAAGCUUGCACUGUCAUAAACAAAGAAUGCCUGUACCAUAACCGACACAGGUGGGUAGGUAGAGUAUACUAAGGGGCGCGAGGUAACUCUCUCUAAGGAACUCGGCAAAAUGACUCCGUAACUUCGGGAGAAGGAGUGCCUUAUUUCUAAGGUUGCAAUAACAAGAUCCAAGCAACUGUUUACCAAAAACACAGGUCUCCGCUAAGUCGUAAGACGAUGUAUGGGGGCUGACGCCUGCCCAGUGCCAGAAGGUUAAAGAAGUUGGUUAGCAUUAGCGAAGCUGAUAACUGAAGCCCUGGUGAACGGCGGCCGUAACAAUAACGGUCCUAAGGUAGCGAAAUUCCUUGUCGGGUAAGUUCCGACCCGCACGAAAGGCGUAAUGAUUUGGAUACUGUCUCGGAGAGGGGCUCGGUGAAAUAGACUUGUCUGUGAAGAUGCGGACUACCUGCACCUGGACAGAAAGACCCUAUGAAGCUUUACUGUAACUUGAGAUUGAAAUUGGACUUUAUUUGCGCAGUAUAGGUGGGAGGCGUUGAGAAUAAUCUUGCGGGAUUGUUGGAGCCAUCAGUGAGAUACCACUCUUGUAAUGUUAGAUUUCUAACUUUGUAUCAUUAUCUGGUCAAAGAACAGUUUCAGGCGGGCAGUUUGACUGGGGCGGUCGCCUCCCAAAGGGUAACGGAGGCGCACAAAGGUUUCCUCUGAACGGGUAGAAAUCGUAUCUAGAGUGUAAAGGCAUAAGGAAGCUUGACUGUGAGACCUACAAGUCGAGCAAGGACGAAAGUCGGUCUUAGUGAUCUGACGGUGCUGAGUGGAAAGGCCGUCACUCAACGGAUAAAAGUUACUCUAGGGAUAACAGGCUGAUCUCCCCCAAGAGUUCACAUCGACGGGGAGGCUUGGCACCUCGAUGUCGGCUCAUCGCAUCCUGGGGCGGUAGUCCGUCCCAAGGGUUGGGCUGUUCGCCCAUGAAAGCGGUACGCGAGCUGGGUUAGAACGUCGUGAGACAGUUCGGUCCAUAUCCGGUGUAGGCGUUAGAAUAUUGAGAGGAGCCUUCUCUAGUACGAGAGGACCGAGAAGGACAUACCUCUGGUGUACCAGUUAUCGUGCCAACGGUAAACGCUGGGUAGCUAUGUAUGGAGUGGAUAACCGCUGAAAGCAUCUAAGUGGGAAGCCCACCUCAAGAUAAGUAUUCUC